rnacentral:misc_RNA from 1 species
GGAAGUAAAAGCGUAACAAGGUUUCCGUAGGUGAACCUGCGGAAGGAUCAUUAUUGUAUAACCGAGGUGCGAGGGCUGUCGCUGACCCGAAAGGUCGUGCACGCCCGAGUGCUCUCACACACAUCCAUCUCACCCCUAUGUGCACCACCGCGUGGGUCCCCCUUUGGCUUGUUCGGAGGGGGGCUUACGUUUUCACACGAACUUUGUAUGCAGUGUAGAAUGUAUUUUUUGUUUUUGCGAUCACGCAAUCAAUACAACUUUCAACAACGGAUCUCUUGGCUCUC